ACCUAGCUGGCUCAGUUGGUGGUGCAUGUGACUCUUGGUCUUAGGGUUGUGAGUUCAAGUCCCAUGUUGGGUG
rnacentral:tRNA from 1 species